AUGUCGGAAGUAACAGAGUUUAAGAGUAUUGUCCCUCAGGAACCCUGAGUCAAAUGAUUUUAACCUUAUUGAACAUGUGCUUUGCCACAUUGUCAAGAAUGAAAGAACAUGUGCUUUUUGGUUUUUAUGACUGCUUUGGUGACAUAAACUCCUUCAAGGAUCAGCUUCAAUCUCAUCCUUUGUUGCUGCCAACUUUGUAAAUUAAUUCAAGUAAGUUUUGAUUGUGAUUGUGGAAAAGCAAAAGAGACAUCAUAUGAUGAACUAAAUGACACUCCUUGUUUGGUUCUAUCUUGGAUCUCAAAAGCUGCUACAGGGAAGGUAUUUGUAUUUGUGGUUCAGUGUAUUUGGUUAACUUGUUUUUUCUUUCAAAUGGAAGAUAGUUCAGUUCUCCAUUUUAAGGGGUAGAGGAAAACCAAACAGAAAUUUAGGACAUGGGUACUUUAUAAAUUCCUAAGUAGAUAUGGUAGUUGUUUAUGGAACAUGUCUAAGUUAGUCAAGAUUGCUUGUUAUUGCAAUGUUGCAGAAGUUGUGUCUAAAGCUCUUUAGUUACACUAAACACAUACUAAUAAUUUGUUGCUGAUC